rnacentral:lncRNA from 1 species
ACUAUACAGAAUUUCUGAAGAAAAAAAGUGAUCAAUUUUAUUAUAGUUACGCUGUAUACAAGAUAUAGAAGAUACUCAGAUCAUCAUCCUGUCUCUCCAUUACAGGACUGUUCUCCUGAAGAAGACAGUAUGGAGUUGGUGCCCCACAUUACUCUUAACCCUGCCUUUAACAUAGAGAUGCUGGAGCACAUCAGUCCAGACUUUAAUGAGAACAGUGAGCACGCAUUUCUGGUUCAGAGUUCUAGCUUGAGCUGAGUCUUGAAAGAAUAUACAAUCCAUAUAAGUAGAAAUCUAUUGGAUUCAACGAUAUCAUUCUUACUAGCUAGUAGUAUAGUAGUAGUAGUAUGAGUACAAGAUUAUCUUCUCGUAUUCUUCCCAAGGAUAUCCAAGCGAUAUUUGUAAAAUAUUGAGGUAGUUUCUGGGUGUUUUCUUAUUUUACUUCAAACAACAAAAUUUUAGUUUAGCUUCAUAAAUUGGUCGAUAACAAAUUUUACUACUGGCAUUUUGACAUCCACAGAUUCAACCUACGUAGAUCGGAACUUAUAUUUUUAAUCCUGUCAUAAAUUAGAAAUCUUGUACCUCUUGUAGUCCUACUAAUUACAAAAUUACAAAAAUAAUGAUUAUAUUUAUAUGUAUUUGAUACAAAUAUAAAUAUGUCUAUACUUAAAAAACAGAGAUCGGAAUUGGUAAAUUGUAAUAGACCUUAGAAAUAUUUAAUACAAGAGUAGAAUCAGAAAACAUCUUGAAACUCUUAAAAUGGAAUAUCCUAUGUGUUCAUAAGCCACGCUAAUAUUAACCUACAGUAUUUACACACUUUAGCAUAUAAAAUUGUUUUUAUUUUAAUGAUUUCCGCUCAUGAUGCCAUAAUUUGUUAUUUUAUACUUUGAAUUUGCAUAUAAUUUAUGUUUUCUGGAACAAAUGUGUUCGUCAUUUUUAUUGUUUACGAAAUUUAUUUGCUUGUAUUUAUGUAUUUAUUUAAUUUUAUACUUAGAUUAUUUUUAUUUAGACUUUUAUUAGAGAUUUAUUUACUUUUUGAUUAAUUAAUUUUUGUCAAAUUUUAUCGAGCUUAUUAACAGUUAAACUAGGCAUAAAGUAUCAACAUCAAUUUGAAACCCGAAUAAAAAUUAAUCAUCAAAAUAUCAUUUUUAACUUUUUUUACUUAACUGUAAAAUUGUCAAAAUUUUUAUUCCAAGUAACAGCUAAUUUCUUGGAUUUUAUAUUUCUAAUUUACUAUGUCGCUUUUUGUAUCGUUUUGACUGCAGUUGUGAAGUCUAACAUGGAAAAUUUAUAAUAUUUGGUUCAAUUUCUUGUAAGUUAGUCAUUAGGUCUUUAUUUUUUGUUUACAGAGAUUGGAACUUUUGUGCUAAAUAUCAAAAAUCCUGAUCGCUUUAUCUCGAUGUCUACAGUGUGCACUUUAGAAUUUUACGCAGAAUCUCUUGAUUUUGGAUAUCCGCAAUUUCUCUGUUAUCUCAUUGGUUAAACGCAAAUUCCCUGACUUCUAAUUGGCUGUUUAUUUUCCGAAGACCACACUCUUCACGAAUAUCGAAUAAAGAUUAUCAAAAGAUCGAAAUCAAGCAUUGAUCUAGAUAUACACAAUUCAAGAUUUCCCAGUCCCAUCUCUGGGUUAGCCACAAAGGAUGCAACUUCAGAGACGACUGAACGGAAUUUAUUCUAUCCUUUUGUUUAUACAAAUGGUUUAAAUCAGCUGUUAACUCGCUUCUUUUUUGUAAUUACUUUUUGGAAAAAAAUAAUCUUCUUGGCCUGGGAUCCAAUUAAACUUUCAGAUGAAGUAUUUAAUUAAUGUCUUAACCAUUGUGGGAAACACUGUAUCUACAGAAAAAUAAACUUAUAAACUGAAUUCCCCAAACCAAGCAAACUUAAACUUACUUAACAUUUUAUAUUUGAUUCAAACUAAUUUUAACAUUUAUUCUAGCAUUCAAGGGAAUACAAAAAUAUGUCGCUUUUUUUAUUCUUGAGAAAUUCUAGGACUACUUUGUUUGAUUAUUUAGCUGACCGUCUCUAGUAAUUGUUUGACUGCUCCGUAAAACCAUGCUCAUAAAUUCCUAAUUCUUCUCACGUGACAUAAUUAAUUUUAUAAAAUCGUCGUCGUUCAUAUUAAAAAAUGAAGACGGCUUUCGACUUUAAUUUUGAUUUCUACCAAGCGCAGCUUUCAAACAGCAUUGAUACACAUAGACAUGAAAACAAAGAAAUUCGCUAAUUAACAGAUUUCUCUUGUAAUUUGAAAAAAGCUGUCUUUAUUUUAUUGAUAUAAACGCCGACCACUGUAUCUACUUGCAACUUCUGAUUCUCAUUUUGUUAUUGACUUCGUAGAUCCUGUUUAGUAUGUACUCUUCUAGUCUUACAUUUUUAUUAUUGUAUAAAUAAUUGAUAAAUUGUAAUAUUUUAUAUAUUUUUAUGUGAAUAAAUUUUGCUAACCUA